AAUGAACGCUGGCGGCGUGGAUUAGGCAUGCGAGUCGAACGAGAAAAUACCUUCGGGUAUGAGUAUAGUGGCGCAAGGGUUAGUAACGCAUGAAUAACCUACCCCUCGGUCGGGGACAACCCAGAGAAAUCCGAGCUAAUACCCGAUGAUAUCUAGAUUCUUCGGUUUCUAGAUCAAAUGGUGGCCCCACGGUUUCUGCCGAGGGAGGGGUUCAUGCCCUACUAGUUUGUUGGUGAGGUAACGGCUCACCAAGACGAUGAUGGGUAGCCGGACUGAGAGGUCGAUCGGCAACACUGGGACUGAGACACUGCCCAG
rnacentral:rRNA from 1 species